AUUGAACGCUGGCGGCAGGCCUAACACAUGCAAGUCGAGCGAGCGGCGGACGGGUGAGUAAUGUAUGGGGACUGCCCGAUAGAGGGGGAUAACUACUGGAAACGGUGGCUAAUACCGCACACUAUCGGAUAACCCAUAUGGGAUAAGGUUGUAGGUGGGGUAAAGGCUCACCUAGGCGAUGAUCUCUAGCUGGUCUGAGAGGAUGAUCGUCCACACUGGGAGUGGGACACGGCCCAGACACCUACGGAGGCAGCAGGGGGGAGUAUUGGACAAUGGGCGAAAACCGGUUGCGGCCAGGCGGCGUGUAUGAGGAAGGCCUUAGGGUUGUAAACUACUUUCAGCGGGGAGGCGUUACCCGCAGAAGAAGCACCGGCUAACUCCGUGCCAGCAGCCGCGGUAAUAC
rnacentral:rRNA from 1 species